rnacentral:rRNA from 1 species
CCCCUAGAUGUUCUGGGCCGCACGCGCGCUACACUGAACAGUUCAACAAGUCUUAACCUUGGCCGAUAGGUCUGGGUAAUCUUUGAACGCUGUUCGUGAUUGGGAUAGACCUUUGCAAUUAUGGGUCUUCAACGAGGAAUUCCUAGUAAGCGCGAGUCAUCAGCUCGUGCUGAUUACGUCCCUGCCCUUUGUACACACCGCCCGUCGCACCUACCGAUUGAAUGGUCCGGUGAAAUCUCGGGACGGCGGCUUGGUCGCUUGCGUCCGACUGCUGAAACUUGAUUAAACCAUAUCAUUUAGAGGAAGGUGAAGUCGUAACA